UACGAAGGGGGCUAGCGUUGCUCGGAAUCACUGGGCGUUAAAGGGUGCGUAGGCGGGUCUUUAAGUCAGGGGUGAAAUCCUGGAGCUCAACUCCAGAACUGCCUUUGAUACUGAGGAUCUUGAGUUCGGGAGAGGUGAGUGGAACUGCGAGUGUAGAGGUGAAAUUCGUAGAUAUUCGCAAGAACACCAGUGGCGAAGGCGGCUCACUGGCCCGAUACUGACGCUGAGGCACGAAAGCGUGGGGAGCAAACAGG
rnacentral:rRNA from 1 species